rnacentral:rRNA from 1 species
GCCACGGCUAACUACGUGCCAGCAGCCGCGGUAAUACGUAGGUGGCAAGCGUUGUUCGGAAUAACUGGGCGUAAAGGAUGCGUAGGCGGUUAGAUAAGUUAAUGUGUCAAAUAUAUAGGCUUAACCUGUAGAAGGCAUAUAAAACUGUGUAACUAGAGUGCAGGAGAGGUAAGUGGAAUUCCUAGUGUAGCGGUGAAAUGCGUAGAGAUUAGGAAGAACACCAGUGGCGAAGGCGACUUACUGGACUGUAACUGACGCUGAGGCAUGAGAGCAUGGGGAGCAAACAGGAUUAGAUACCCUGGUAGUCCAUGCUGUAAACGAUGGGUACUAGGUGUGGGCUGUGAAGAACAGUUCGUGCCGUCGCAAACGCAAUAAGUACCCCGCCUGAGGAGUACGAUCGCA